GAAUAGAAUAUUAUGACACAUAUUCGAAAGUAUGGGCCGAAAUAGAAGAGCCAAUGCCAACCCCACGGCAAUUAUGCAGUUUAAUAAUUCACAACUCUCGUCUAUAUGUUUUCGGUGGUAAUGAUGGUAAAUACUAUUUAAGUAGUGCAGUCUACUAUAAUCUACAAGAAGAAUGUUGGACACAUUGUAAUCCAAUGCCAACAGCUACUGAUCUAAUGGGCAUUACAAGUAGAGGAAAUGAUUUAUAUUUAUUUGGCGGUACCCCUUAUUUAAAAUCCUAACGUGCUUACAAAAUGAACUUAAAUAGUUCAAAAUGGGAUACGCUACCUGAUAUGAUCAACACAAAAAUGUAUGCAAAUGCCGUUACUAUUGAAAACGAUUUAUUUGUUGUGGGAAAAAAUACCGCCUGGUUUUUACCAAAAAAAGAUGAAGCUCCUGCCGGAGUCUUAUGUGAAAGAUAUAUUGCUGA